GGAAAAGGCCAUAGCUCAGCAGUGGAGCAUCUGCUUUGCAUACAGAAGGUCCCAGGUUCAGUCCCUGGCUCCUCCU